rnacentral:rRNA from 1 species
GACGAACGCUGGCGGCGUGCUUAACACAUGCAAGUCGAACGGAAAGGCCCUGCUUUUGUGGGGUGCUCGAGUGGCGAACGGGUGAGUAACACGUGAGUAACCUGCCCUUGACUUUGGGAUAACUUCAGGAAACUGGGGCUAAUACCGGCUAGGAGCUCCUGCUGCAUGGUGGGGGUUGGAAAGUUUCGGCGGUUGGGGAUGGACUCGCGGCUUAUCAGCUUGUUGGUGGGGUAGUGGCUUACCAAGGCUUUGACGGGUAGCCGGCCUGAGAGGGUGACCGGCCACAUUGGGACUGAGAUACGGCCCAGACUCCUACGGGAGGCAGCAGUGGGGAAUAUUGCACAAUGGGCGGAAGCCUGAUGCAGCAACGCCGCGUGCGGGAUGACGGCCUUCGGGUUGUAAACCGCUUUCGCCUGUGACGAAGCGUGAGUGACGGUAAUGGGUAGAGAAGCACCGGCUAACUACGUG